rnacentral:rRNA from 1 species
AUUGAACGCUGGCGGCAGGCUUAACACAUGCAAGUCGAGCGGGGGAAGGUAGCUUGCUACCGGACCCAGCGGCGGACGGGUGAGUAAUGCUUAGGAAUCUGCCUAUUAGUGGGGGACAACAUCUCGAAAGGGAUGCUAAUACCGCAUACGUCCUACGGGAGAAAGCAGGGGAUCUUCGGACCUUGCGCUAAUAGAUGAGCCUAAGUCGGAUUAGCUAGUUGGUGGGGUAAAGGCCUACCAAGGCGACGAUCUGUAGCGGGUCUGAGAGGAUGAUCCGCCACACUGGGACUGAGACACGGCCCAGACUCCUACGGCAGGCUGCAGUGGGGAAUAUUGGACAAUGGCGGGAACCCUGAUCCAGCCAUGCCGCGUGUGUGAAGAAGGCCUUAUGGUUGUAAAGCACUUUAAGCGAGGAGGAGGCUACUCUAGUUAAUACCUAGGGAUAGUGGACGUUACUCGCAGAAUAAGCACCGGCUAACUCUGUGCCAGCCGCCGCCGUAA